UACGUAGGUGGCAAGCGUUGUCCGGAAUUAUUGGGCGUAAAGCGCGCGCAGGCGGCCUCCUAAGUCCGAUGUGAAAGCCCACGGCUCAACCGUGGAGGGUCAUUGGAAACUGGGGGACUUGAGUGCAGAAGAGGAAAGCGGAAUUCCACGUGUAGCGGUGAAAUGCGUAGAGAUGUGGAGGAACACCAGUGGCGAAGGCGGCUUUCUGGUCUGUAACUGACGCUGAGGCGCGAAAGCGUGGGGAGCAAACAGG
rnacentral:rRNA from 1 species